rnacentral:rRNA from 1 species
UACGUAGGAUGCAAGCGUUGUCCGGAUUUACUGGGCGUAAAGCGCGCGCAGGCGGCAUGGUAAGUAAGGUGUGAAAUCCAUCUGCUCAACGGGUGGGGUGCAUUUUAGACUGCCAAGCUUGAGGUCGGUAGAGGGGGGGUAGAACUGCUGGUGUAGCGGUGAAAUGCGUAGAGAUCAGCAGGAAUACCCGUGGCGAAGGCGGCCCCCUGGGCCGUACCUGACGCUGAGGCGCGAAAGCUAGGGGAGCGAACGGG